UACAGAGGUCUCAAGCGUUGUUCGGAUUCAUUGGGCGUAAAGGGUGCGUAGGUGGUGCCGUAAGUCAGGUGUGAAAUCUCGGGGCUCAACCCCGAAACUGCACUUGAUACUGCGGUGCUUGAGGACUGGAGAGGAGAUCGGAAUUCAUGGUGUAGCGGUGAAAUGCGUAGAUAUCGUAAGGAAGACCAGUGGCGAAGGCGGGUCUCUGGACAGUUCCUGACACUGAGACACGAAGGCCAGGGGAGCAAACGGG
rnacentral:rRNA from 1 species